rnacentral:rRNA from 1 species
GACAGAGGAUGCAAGCGUUAUCCGGAAUGAUUGGGCGUAAAGCGUCUGUAGGUGGCUUUUUAAGUCCGCCGUCAAAUCCCACGGCUCAACCGUGGAACUGCUUGGCAUACUGGCGGUCUUGAGCAACCUAGGGGCGAGCGGAACAAAUGGUGGAGCGGUGAAAUGCGUAGAUAUCAUUUGGAACGCCAAUGGUGAAAACAGCUCGCUGGGGGUUUGCUGACGCUGAGACACGAAAGCCAGGGGAGCAAACGGG